AUCACUUUACAGCAGUCAAUACUUACACAACUCUACCUCUCCAUUUGUUUCAAUCAGCUAAUUGGUAUCAGGAGUGCAUGAAUUAUAUACAGUGGACUCUUGCUAAUUCGGCUCUCUGAAUUACGCUCACCUCAAUAAUUAUAACGGUCAUUUAACUCCUCCUGAAAUACGCCCACCUCGCUAUUCUGUUAAUUAUUCGGUUUUGACAACCCCAAAUGAGAUUUUUAAUGUACUUUUACACGCAUAUAUGUCCAGAUAUGAUGUUGUGAGUGUAGAAAUUGAUUACACUCGAAUACAGAGAAUAAUAAUUUAUUAUCCUCGAGACAUACCGCUUAACUUAAAAGUAGUCAUUAGAUUCGAGGCAAAACUAUGUAGUAUAGUGCUGUGUAUUUUAAAAAGUCCAUACCGGAUAUACCGUAUUUACUUGAUUAAAUGCCCUCCUUGAAUAAACGCCCAGGGUAAAAGCUCCGUCUUUGUCAAUAAACGCCCAUAUAUGGGGCGUGGCACUGUGGGUGGAGCUGAAAUAGCACAUGGAUCCCAGUUGCAAGCAUGGCAGCAUAGAAUAAUAAUACUUUUUAUGAUGCAUCGAUGGCAGAGAGAGAGAUACCGACACAGAAGGCACUCCUAUGACUUAAAUUUAAGCUGAGAAAUAGAUUUAAGCUGAGACAGCGGCCCAAGAAGAGCACAAUAACUGCUGCUGUGCAAGAGUUUUGGAGUAGACAUAACAAUAAACGCCCUCCUAGAUUAAACGCCCCCUCUAAAGACUUGAUGUGAAAUAAACGCCCGGGCGUUUAAUCAAGUAAAUACGGUAUUUUGAUUUGAGUGUAUAAACUUUUGCGGAAUGACAGUUAGUUCACGGAUUUAAUUUUCGCGGAAUAGCGCAGCCUUUCUGCAGCAUGCAUGCAUGCGAUAUUAAAUUUGUGGGUAUAAAUGUUUGCAGUACAUGCUUAAUCAGCGAAAACCGCGAACAUUUAUGCCCUCGAAAUAUACACGCUAUACGGUAUUGUGUUUCAAAUGCGCUAAUCGGGUAAUUUCCCAAGGCGCAUGAGCGGCCACAGGUUUAUAGUAGUCAUUUGGUUUGUUUGUCUGUUUAUUUGUGAUAUGUGAGUCUACUCACCUGGAUGCCAUAGCACUGUGUUUACAGCACGGAUAUAUCCUCCACAAAACAAGUUAUUAGUGGCAGAUUUCGAUGUUAAAGCUUCAUUGUCGUAUAAAAGUGAGCUAAGAGGAACUUGCACGUUACCUAGCUCUACACGCGACCUUUAUUCAAGGUAUAUCUACAUAAUUGUUUGCAGCUGAAGUGAUCCUUUACCGGUAUAUUGUACGUUGUUGCUUCUUUACUCCUCUGGUUUUUAUAUUCAUGUCAACAGCCGAGGGUUAGCACCUCAGUGCUCUAGUUACACCUGCACUGACUAUAUUUGAUAGUGCUAAACAAUCGAUUUAUGCAGCUUUGAUUAUGCACACAAGAUAGUAUAAUUAGUGAGCAACACAGCAUGUAUACAUGUAGACUGAAAAUGAAAUUACUCCUGGCUGCACUGGAGUGCUGUGUAUUUUGAAAAAAGUCGAUUUAUGCAGCUGUGCACUGUGGUUGGGGCCCCAAUAGGUACACAGGAAUAUAUGCCACCAUGCACUGCUAACUGAUUUAGUGUUGUAUCAGUAGCACAGAGGAGGUUGGACACGAUCACUUGCACCAAGUUGUUUGCUGACUUGGCACUUUUGUUGACACAGUUUUUCAAUGCGACCUGGGUUAGUGUAUAAUAGAACAUGCGACAUUCCUACCCCUUAUACCCUACAUUAUACCAUACACAUCGCACAGUUAUCUAUGAGUGCUCUGGCUUUAUUGAGCUUUUAAACUAGCCACGCCUGUAGUCAAGAUCAGCUAGAGUGUGAAGUUGAGUAACUAGUCUCAAAAAGUAGGUUAAACCCAAGAUAUUUCUGCUUAAUGUUACAUGCGCUUAACUCAGGCAGAAGAGAGGAUGUCCUCUGGCAUUGAUACUUAACCUAUAUAGAUACCUAUGACCAUAUCAACAUAUUUUUUCUGCCCACAAGCAGUCGCACACUGCAUGCAUGUACUAUUAAACUUGAGCUAGCUCGCAUGCAGCUGCAUGCCUGUUCUAAUUAGUCCGGACAUCUCACGUGUGCUGUAAUAAUCUGUUCCAAUUAUAUGCAGACAAUUUGUUGUUUUUUUUACUAUCCGAAAAAUUAGAACAUACGAUAUACACCAUUCACAAUAAGUCAGUGCAUGUACAUGUACGUACUUACUUGUACAUGUAUACACAUAUGAAGCUAGCAGCUAAGGUAUAUCGGAGCCUACAAUAACUAAUGAAUAGGUUUGUUGUACAUAGCAUUAAUUAGGUUCUGCAGCUUUUUUCUUAUCUGAGGCUUUUAAUCGAAAUCGGCCAUUGUUAGCUUCAGAUAUAGGUACAAACUAGGAUUGGGGAUUGGCCAAGAGCCUGCAAUAUUUCGAGCAAGUUUUUUCACUGGUAAACAAGUUGUCGUGACUAAAUUUUACUGUGAGAUUUACAAAAGGGAGCCGAUUAGUAGCAUAGCUUAAUUGUGAAUUGCGGUUAAUCAUUAUUUUGCUGAUUGACAUUGUGCUUUUGGUGCUUUUUAGGCCAAUCCUGAAAACUACUGGUAACAAAAUUCACAUCUAUAUAGUUCAUUACUAUUAUAAUAGAUACCCGGUGACUUUAUUUGCAUGUAUAAAUUCUUAAAUUUUUUCCUGAAAUCUUGUGUGCCAUCUCACAGUACUCUAUAUAUAGAAUGAGAUUAUAAUUAUACUCAAAAGGCCACAUCAUACCAUACAAGUGCAUGCAUUACGUGCAUAAUUAUAUACACCAACAAUAUUCAUGAGCUUUCAAGUGGAGUCAGGAGUCCACGAGUAUAAAAGGACUUCUUCAAAUUAUAGAUUCAUUCCAAUCCAGCACUACAAAAAAUGCAGGUCAUCUGUCUCUCAUCACUUCUGUUCUUGUUAGGCUUUUCCCACGCAGAGAUUGCCAUGUCUCCAACAGAUACAGCUAUCUCCACAAUCAACAAGGCUGCACAACUAGCAUCAACCAUGAAAACUACCGACACUCGAGCCAGGAGAUCCGUAAAUCUCAGACGACUAUCCACUGAAGAGUUCAAUCAAUGUCAAACAAUAGCUAGUAGGGUUGCUUGUGAGACUGGCCUUCAGGAGGACCUAUACACUCUGGCACUGGAAUGCCAGCAGCAAGACACCGCUAACCAGGCUCAGUUUGCUUGUGGAGUCAAUGAGAAUGGUCUAUACUGCAGCCAGGGAUUGGACAUAAGUAAACAGUUCUUUAAAGAAGCAUUUUCAAAUUGUCGAUCGUUUUCAUCUUGCUCAUCCAGCUGUCGAAACUCAAUCACCCGUAUUCGAGACCAACUAGGCUGUUGUUCUGGUCACUGGACAAAUUUGUUUGUUGACAGCCGAACAAACUUUGACGGGGCACUCUGGUCAGUUUGUGGUGUGAGCACAGGUGAACUGUGCCCUAUUCCAGACUACAACUCCACCGUUACAUCCCGAUUCUGCACAAAAGCCGAAACCAGUCGAAUCCUUUUCUCUCGCCGAUGCAUGCUGAAUACAUCAGGAAUAACAGUCAAAACACUUGCUAACACUACUGGCUGUGAAGGAGUAGCCAAGAUCCAUGUUGAAGCAUGCAGCGUCAAUUUCAAUGGAGAUUUCUGCGCUCUAAAAACUUCCCAAGGCAGGAUAAGUACCCUGGUCCAAAACUGUGCACAAAGUUUAGUCUCUGGCAACGCUUGUUCUUUCUCAUGCAAAGCUUCUCUGAUUACACUUCAUAGUGUGUUUGGAUGCUGUAUCAACAGUCUCUUCAAUGGUACUACCACUAAAAUUGCUCCAAUAUCAGGUUCAGAAGAAUUACUUCGAUACUUCACUAACAGUUUCUGGUCAAAAUGCAAUGUUGCUCCUCCUGGUAUGUGUGAGAACCCUUUGUUGCUGCCCGAGAUUAACAAUGAGGAUGUUACCACCAGUGAACCAAAUGGGGGAAUCAAGACCAGUGAAACAAAUGGGGGAGUCAAGACCAGUGAAACAAAUGGGGGAGUCAAGACCAGUGGUGUGAUCAGUGUGAUGCUGAUAGUUGCACUAGCUUUGUUCCUCUUCUGAGACAUAGAACAUACAUAAUGAAGAGGUUCUCAGUGUGUACAUCAUCUCCCUUCUCACUGUUAUUGGAACUCUCUUCUCUAUUGCCUAUUUCGCCAUCCUGGCUCCUCUGUGGGUACUGAACUCCCGGCUUGCACAGGGAAGGCUGGUGGACCCUGCUACCAAAGACAAGCCAGAGAAAGAUACAACACUAUGCAACAAACUAAUAAAUGUUUUGCCAUGCUUGUGGCAUGUUUAGCCAUGCUUAGCCUUUCUGACGUUGCCAUCCCAUUGCCAUCACUCGCAGGUAGUCUUUGUUUUUUGUGUACAACUGUAACAUUUUAGUAGUGUUGCAAAUGAGGAA